UACAGAGGUGGCAAGCGUUGUUCGGAAUUACUGGGCGUAAAGGGCGCGUAGGCGGCCUACUAAGUCAGACGUGAAAUCCCCCGGCUUAACCUGGGAACUGCGUCUGAUACUGGAAGGCUUGAGUAUGGGAGAGGGAUGUAGAAUUCCAGGUGUAGCGGUGAAAUGCGUAGAUAUCAGGAGGAACACCGAUGGCGAAGGCAGGUCUCUGGGCUGACACUGACGCUCAUGCACGAAAGCGUGGGGAGCAAACAGG
rnacentral:rRNA from 1 species